UGAAAAUGGAUAGGUAACAGUCCAAGACCAUCAUCUGCAGUGCAGGAUGACUGCAACUCACCCAGAUCAGCAUUACUGAGAGCAGAAAGCCAUAGUCUCUGUUUUCAUAAUGCAAACAGGUUUUAUUUAGCAGAUAGAGGUCACAAAAGCUGGGGGUUUUCUGUGUUCUUACUGUGCACAGAACCACACUUUACCAUAACUAAAAUAGUUUUACUUCUAUGCUUGACAGCAAUGAAGGAAGUUGCAUGCUGAUAAAGACUUUCUUAAACAACAAGAAAACUAUUCAACCUAUAUCAGGGCUACAGAUGCUGAACAUACUUUCUCCUAUUAAUUAGAUAAGCUGCAAAUAAACAGUUUCAUAGGUAGAGCUGAUAAGACAGGCCUAUCCUAUAGCUUUUAUAAGUGCUUCUCAACGCAAUUCAAUGAUGCCAGAAGUAUUUGCAUUGCAUUAAGUCUGUACAUGAAAGAAGAAAAAAAAAACCUGCUGUGAUAUCUACAAAUGCUGGUAUAUGCUCUGUGGAUGCAGAUAUCCACACAGGAUAUGCCUACCUGCAUGGAUUUUCCAGUCUGUCUUUGAACCUCAUUUAACGCUACUUAACCAUGACACCAGCAGUUCUCCAGAUGCUGUAGAUUACAGGUAUUAUUUUCCCUGUAUGUAUCACAGGCAAGGAUGUAUCACAGCGCAGGAUGAUGCUGAUAACUUCACUCUAUAUUUCUUGGGGUUCUUUUGUAGUAUUAUCUGACCAUAAUUCUACCUUAAAUAUUUUUACUUCUAAACAUUGUAUAAAGCACAAAGGAAUCAUAGGAGUUAUGCCUUCUGCUUCACCUUUUAAAAUAAAGCUUCACCCUCGACUAGUUUUUUCCAGCAGAGUUAGUUAGUGGAAAAAAGCCUGAGAUUUUAGGCAGUAAUCCUGGUUUCAUGCAUAUCAAGUUGACUCUGGAGUAAUUCAACUAAAAUAAAAAGAAUCAUAUUCGUGCUACUGCUGAAUUUGAAUUAACAGUAAGGAAUAUUGCUUAAAACUGCCUGCAGACUCUUUCAGCCACAACUACUAAUAGGAAAGGAAAAGAGAACUAAGGAAACAGCUUUCAUUUUCAGAUUGAGAAGGGGUGAAUCUGUAAAUCAGAAGUGACCUUCCUUCUCCUCCCAGGUCUUUAGCUGACACCUGCACACAGCUGAUGUGAAAUCAAAGCCCAUAAAUCAUGAAAUCUCUAUGUUUGUUCAUUUAAUUUUAGAAUAGAGACAAAAGCUUUUGAAAGCAUUAUUGUAAACAAACAUGCAUCUUCACCCGGAAGCAAGGCAAAAGAGCUACCUCCUCCAAGUGUUAUGCAAAGAAAACAUUUUUGAAUAAUAUAUCUGGCUUGGUUUGCAUAAGGACAGCACUAUCCUUACCAUUAAAUGUCUACUCAGGUAUUCCCAGCACAACCUCCCCUUAAAUAUGGUGUGAACAAUUACGGAAAGAUAACACUUGCAAAGAUUUUAUGGCAUUUUCCAUUUCUAAUUAUUUGCUGAGAGUGUUAUAGACACCAAUCAAAGCAUCAGAGCCACGAGCCUCCUUUCAUUACAGUUGCAAGAGGAAACAGGAGAAAAAAGAGCUAAGUCCCCAGAAGAACAUCGACAUCCCAAAGGCAGAGCUGGGAAUGUGCUGCUGCUGCCUGGCAGGAUCCUGAGGUGUGCAAUGAAGUGACACUGCAGUGAUUCACAGCCUUGAUCGUGUUUGCUAUUGAUGGAAGCCAGGACCAUAUUAAUUGAAUUGAGCUGUACAACCCUGGACUAAGCAACACAGCCUGAGCCCUAAAGGCAGUGAGAGAAACUAAAACACUAAGGUGGAGAAGUAACCCACGUGAAGAAGAGAAGACAGUGGUUACAGAGGACUGACCUGGCAAAGCCAGCAUUGAAGCAGGAUGGAGCUCCGGGCUUGCAGAAAAAUGUAUUGCCAAAUGAAGAUGUCAAGGUGUCCAUCAUUUCUACUGGUUAGCUAGAGAAGAUCUGACACAUUGCCAUUUUUGAAGGGAGAGAUGGAGAAUAUGGCUCUCCCUGCUGAAAUAUGCUAUUUUUCUUCAGAAGGGAGUAUUACACCGGAUCUUGACAAGGAUAUUAAUGCAAAUUUCUUUGGCAAUAAUUAGGAUACCUAAUAGAGAGGAUAGAGGGUUCAUCUUCUCCCCUUACCUUUUAUUUUCAGAUCGAUCUUCUACUGGAUCUACACGAAUUAUUACUAAAAAUUAAUUCCUCAUGCUGUGCUACAGAUUCUGGAUGAAAUGGAAGAACUUCUCAAAAAUUUAUGCAUGGUCAUUUAAUGCAGCUGAUUUCUGCCCAGGAAAAUGGAGAAUAACAUAACAGUAUCCAUGUAUUUCAUUGAUUCUUAACUCUACUUGGAAAUCUUGAAGGAACAAUCUGGUUGUUCAGCCAUCAUAUAUCACCUUACUCACUUAUUUCAACAGAUCUUUUGAAUGGAUACUGGCACACCAAGUACAGAUUUUGAAAGUCCUUCUUUUCAGAUCGAAUUUUACAACACAAGUGUCAGCAUCCUUCAUGUCUGCGCACGCUGUAUUCCUAUGUGCCAAGGCUGCUCAGAUGACCCUCUGUUUCCCCUUUGAAGAAUUAUUUUGCAUUGGCAUUUGUCUCAGUGUUCACUUUUCUGCAGAACUGCAAGAUAACUAUGGAUAAAAGACCUUCCUCUGUCCUUUCGUGUUUCACUGGACUCAAGUGAAGAGCUCAGCUGCAGUCAAAGUUUAUCGUAACAAAGAAGCCUGAUUAAACAAGAGAAAUGCACCAUUUGGCAGAAUCCUUCAGCCAUUCAUAAAAGGAAGAGUCAGACAUCAUGCUUAAUGUUUUGAUCAGAAACUCUGCUUAGGUCUUUGACUUGCAUCCCUGAUGACCUUUAAAUUGCAUUUGAAUACAUUUCAAUUAUUAAGGCAGGAAAAUUACCCUGUCAGAUGGACCAAGGUCAUUAUCAAUUUACUAACAUCUCUACCUUCCUUUUUGCUGA